GUGGGGAAUUUUGGACAAUGGGCGAAAGCCUGAUCCAGCCAUGCCGCGUGCAGGAUGAAGGCCUUCGGGUUGUAAACUGCUUUUGUACGGAACGAAACGGUCCUGGUUAAUACCCGGGGCUAAUGACGGUACCGUAAGAAUAAGCACCGGCUAACUACGUGCCAGCAGCCGCGGUAAUACGUAGGGUGCAAGCGUUAAUCGGAAUUACUGGGCGUAAAGCGUGCGCAGGCGGUGCUGUAAGACAGGCGUGAAAUCCCCGGGCUUAACCUGGGAAUUGCGCUUGUGACUGCAGUGCUGGAGUGCGGCAGAGGGGGAUGGAAUUCCGCGUGUAGCAGUGAAAUGCGUAGAUAUGCGGAGGAACACCGAUGGCGAAGGCAAUCCCCUGGGCCUGCACUGACGCUCAUGCACGAAAGCGUGGGGAGCAAACAGGAUUAGAAACCCGGGUAGUCC
rnacentral:rRNA from 1 species